rnacentral:rRNA from 1 species
UACAGAGACUGCAAGCGUUAUUCGGAUUCACUGGGCGUAAAGGGUGCGCAGGCGGCCGUGUGUGUUAGGUGUGAAAGCCCGGGGCUUAACCCCGGAAUUGCGCCUAAAACUACAUGGCUAGAGCAUUGGAGAGGGUAGCGGAAUUCACGGUGUAGCAGUGAAAUGCGUAGAUAUCGUGAGGAACACCAGAGGCGAAGGCGGCUACCUGGACAAUUGCUGACGCUCAGGCACGAAAGCGUGGGGAGCAAAAGGGAUUAGAUACCCCUGUAGUCCACGCCCUAAACGGUGCACACUAGGUCUUAGCGGAUUCGAUCCCGCUAGGGCCCAAGCUAACGCGUUAAGUGUGCCGCCUGAGGACUACGGUCGCAAGACUAAA